rnacentral:rRNA from 1 species
GGACUACAGGGGUUUCUAAUCCUGUUUGCUCCCCUAGCUUUCGUGCCUCAGUGUCAGGAGUCGUCCAGGGACUCGCCUUCGCCACUGGUGUUCCUCUCGAUAUCUACGCAUUUCACUGCUACACCGAGAAUUCCAGUCCCCCCUCCGACCCUCAAGUUGGGUAGUUUCCAAUGCCGUUUCGGAGUUGAGCUCCGAGAUUUCACAUCCGACUUACCCUACCACCUACGCACCCUUUACGCCCAGUGAAUCCGAACAACGCUCGGGACCUCUGUAUUACCGCGGCUGCUGGCAC